CCCUUAGAUGUUCUGGGCCGCACGCGCGCUACACUGAUGCAUUCAACGAGCCUAUCCUUGACCGACAGGUCCGGGUAAUCUUUGAAUCUGCAUCGUGACGGGGAUAGAUUAUUGCAAUUAUUAAUCUUCAACGAGGAAUGCCUAGUAGGCGCAAGUCAUCAGCUUGCGUCGAUUACGUCCCUGCCCUUUGUACACACCGCCCGUCGCUCCUACCGAUUGGGUGUGCUGGUGAAAUGUUCGGAUCGGCCGUUUGUCGCGGUUUCCGCGUCAUGUGGCUGAGAAGUAAAUUAAACCCUCCCACCUAGAGGAAGGAGAAGUCGUAACA
rnacentral:rRNA from 1 species